UCUUUGUAAAAACCAAGUUAGAUUGGGUCCAAAAACCAAGUUAGGUUGAGCCUCGCUAAGAGCAUUAGGUGCAAUUUGUUCUAGAAAAUAAUGUUUUCAUUUCUGCCAGACUUCUCAAUUGAUUUUAACGCAGACUCAUACAUGGUGAUUGAAAGCAUUAGUGUUACUACAGGAGGUUAGCAGAAUUAUUUCUAUUUAGAACAGAGAUGAGAAGGAUGAAGGUGAUAAUGUCAAAAGUGAAUAAGUGGGUUUUUUUUUUUUUUAAUCAAAAGUUAUACAUAGAUUGGGUGUUCCCAUUGUGGCUCAGCAGAAAUGAACCCAACCAGUAUCCAUGGGGAUGCGGGUUCCAUUCCCUAGCCUUGCUCUGUGGGUUAAGGAUCUGGAGAUGCUGUGAGCUGUGGUGUAGCUCACAGACUCGCCUUGGAUCCUGCAUUGUUGUGGCGUAGGCUGGCACCUGCAGCUCCAGUUUGACCCAUAGGCUGGGAACUUCCAUACCCCCUGGUGGGGCCCUAAAAAAAGCAAAAAAAAAAAAACAAAAUUACCCGUCCCUCACUGCAUCCAGUAACCUGAGCCAACCAGAAACUUUUGGUAUCCUCUAAUGUGGGGAGGAAGAGGAGGCGGCUGCGAUGGUGAGGUUUUUCAAAGGAACCUCAACCUUACUUUGACCCUCAGCUUGCUCAUAGACUUAAGGCAGUUCUUAGAUGAAAAGGUUGUUCUUGAGUCUCCAGUGACCCAGCAGGUUAAGGAGACAGCAUUGUCAUUGCUGUGUCUGUGGUCACUGCUGUGGCACAGGUUCCAUCCCUUGCCAGGGAACUUCUGCCCCAGAGGCCAAGAAGGACCCCGCCACUUUGGAAAUGCCCCCUCCCCAGCCUCAGGUUCAGGCUCUCUUCCGGUCCCGCCCCCCCAGGUAUCGGGCCUGGGUAGGCCAAUCCCCACCCACUUCCGGCGGCACCACCAAUCACCACCGCUCAGUGCGCGCUGCCCACAGGGGCCUGCCUCUCAGAGAUGCUCCAGGUGUGAGUCUUGCGCUAGAGCCUGAAGACCCCCGACAGCCGAGGCCUGAGAGGGCGGAGCCCUGCGCCCCAGGUGAGCCGGAGCCGGAAGGAAGGGCGGGGUCCGGGUGGGGGGCUUUCUUAGUGGCUGCUUCCUGGGCCACUCCUGGAGCCAGACGUCAGGGUCUCCUCAGAAAAGUCACAGGUCAAGUCGAAUCUUGAGAGCUGGGAAGCUACCAGAG
rnacentral:lncRNA from 1 species